CAUAACCCACCCUCCGUCCUCCAGAGCACACUCACAGAUGCCCCUUUGCAGGCCAUCUACAAGAUGGUGUCCUCCAUGAUGAAGAUGCCCGAGGACAAGUCCAUGCCUGAGAAUCGAACAGACAAGAUCUUCAGGCAGAUGGACACAAACAAUGAAGGCAAAAUGUCCCUGGAAGAAUUCAACAAAGGUGCCAAGAGCGACCCAUCCAUUGUCCGGUUGCUGCAGUGUGAUCCCAGCAGUGCUAGCCAGUUCUGAGGGGAAUGGGCUUUUACACAGUUGUGAGAAACACAGGCUUGACCUGCCAUCUUCAGCUUUGCUUGCAAAAGUGGUUUUCUCCAUGAUUUCUCCUGCUCUCUAGGGACCUGGGUCCAGACAGCACAUCACACUCACCUGGUCUGGCUGGAUGCAGCUCCCUCCUCUGUCUGAUCCAGAUAGAUGUCCCUCCCCAUCCAGUCCAGGCUGGUUCCUUCCAAGGUUUCAAGUGUUCUCAGUUGUAGGGCUCCUUCCCUGCCCACAGAGGGCCUGGAGGCCCUUAAGGACACCAGACAGGACUUUUCAAUAUCUUACCGAGACCAGCUGAUUUAUUCUAUGAUCCCAGCUGACUUUGUGAGGAUGAAGAUGGAGAGUAGAUAGGCAAGCCCUUCCUGUGCAUGGCUCCACCUCCCUUGUUCAUUUGCUCUGACCAAAGCUGUUUGCAUGUAUAUAC
rnacentral:lncRNA from 1 species